GACGAACGCUGGCGGCGUGCCUAAUACAUGCAAGUAGGACGCAGUUGCGAACGGGUGAGUAACGCGUAGGUAACUACCUAUUAGAGGGGGAUAACUAUUGGAAACGAUAGCUAAUACCGCAUACUAGUAGAUGGACCUGCGUUGUAUUAGCUAGUAGGUAGGGUAAUGGGCUACCUAGGCAACGAUACAUAGCCGACCUGAGGGGGUGAUCGGCCACACUGGGACUGGGGCACGGCCCAGACCCCUGCGGGAGGCAGCAGUAGGGAAUCUUCGGCAAUGGGGGGAACCCUGACCGAGCAACGCCGGGUGAGUGAAAGAGGUUUUCGGAGCGUAAAGCUCUGUUGUUCGGGAAGCGGUACUUGACCAGAAAGGGACGGCUAACUACGUGCCAGCAGCCGCGGUAAUUC
rnacentral:rRNA from 1 species